UUGCGGUGACAUUCCCCGAGAAGAGCCAUUUUCGAUCGAGGGCACUCCGUCGUUUCCUUCAGUGAUCGUGGGUCACAAUGCCCGAUGAGUGAUUUGUAGUGUUGGGUUGGUUUUGGUUUUGAGGAUUCUAAUGCGAGCUGAAUGGUGAGAGGUCUAUUGGUGGGGUGCAGUGAUUGAGAAGAGAUGGUGUUUGAGCUUGUGAAGUUGCUCACUCCGCUGCAAGCUGGAAUUGCGGUGGCCAUCUGUAUGGCUCUGUCCGCCCAUCACAUGAACCAAUACAGCAAGCAUAUGGAGAAGUAUGGGGAUUUGGGAGGCCUCAUUGAGAAGAGGACACACAGCACGAGAGCGGAGGCAGAGGAGCCCGUUGCGCAACCUGAACAGUAGUCCACUAAUGGUGGUGGUAGCGCUGAUAGAAAAUCGCGCAGUUCUCGAGGUUGACUAAUGAAGCGGAGAACAUCAAGAGGAGCUAAUGCGAAGGGAUGAUGCCCACCAUUUUCGUCGCAGACUAGCAUCUGCUGGAACGAAAUGAUUGAGAAUGUGCAGCAAGGAAUCAGAGUUUGAGUUUCUUUGUAUGCCUUCUAUGUGAACACGAGGUUGACGUUACGUUAGACUGAUGUGUACAUUAGUUGGCGUUGUGGAGCUGCGAUUGCGAUCCUUAUCCCAACGAGAACUAGAAAUGAAAAUGGGUAUGAAGUUGUUGCUCUUGGCUGGAAUAGAGGGAAACACCCCAGAUCCUGAUACUCUUGUUUGAUUGGAUUUGGUUCCAUGUUGAAGCUCAUUUGCAUUUCCUUGUUCAAAAUCAAAUGAAAUUUGUAUGGUUCCCAGACAUUUUUGGUAUAAAAACAUUUCAAACGUCAAA